UACGUAGGGGGCAAGCGUUGUCCGGAAUCAUUGGGCGUAAAGAGCGUGUAGGCGGCCAGAUAAGUCCGCUGUGAAAUCUCGAGGCUCAACUUCGAGCUGUCGGUGGAAACUGUCUGGCUAGAGUCCGGAAGAGGAGAAUGGAAUUCCUGGUGUAGCGGCGAAAUGCGCAGAUAUCAGGAAGAACACCCGUGGCGAAGGCGGCUCUCUGGGACGGUACUGACGCUGAGACGCGAAAGCGUGGGGAGCGAACAGG
rnacentral:rRNA from 1 species